rnacentral:rRNA from 1 species
CGGCCCAGACUCCUACGGGAGGCAGCAGUGGGGAAUAUUGCACAAUGGGCGCAAGCCUGAUGCAGCGACGCCGCGUGAGGGAUGACGGCCUUCGGGUUGUAAACCUCUUUCAGCAGGGAAGAAGCUUUUGUGACGGUACCUGUAGAAGAAGCGCCGGCUAACUACGUGCCAGCAGCCGCGGUAAUACGUAGGGCGCAAGCGUUGUCCGGAAUUAUUGGGCGUAAAGAGCUCGUAGGCGGUUUGUCGCGUCUGCUGUGAAAGCCCGGGGCUUAACUCCGGGUGUGCAGUGGGUACGGGCAGACUGGAGUGCAGUAGGGGAGACUGGAAUUCCUGGUGUAGCGGUGAAAUGCGCAGAUAUCAGGAGGAACACCGAUGGCGAAGGCAGGUCUCUGGGCUGUUACUGACGCUGAGGAGCGAAAGCAUGGGGAGCGAACAGGAUUAGAUACCCUGGUAGUCCAUGCCGUAAACGUUGGGCACUAGGUGUGGGGGGCAUUCCACGUUCUCCGCGCCGUAGCUAACGCAUUAAGUGCCCCGCCUGGGGAGUACGGCCGCAAGGCUAAAACUCAAAGGAAUUGACGGGGGCCCGCACAAGCGGCGGAGCAUGCGGAUUAAUUCGAUGCAACGCGAAGAACCUUACCAAGGCUUGACAUGCACUAGAUCGCCUCAGAGAUGGGGUUUCCCCUUGUGGGUUGGUGUACAGGUGGUGCAUGGUUGUCGUCAGCUCGUGUCGUGAGAUGUUGGGUUAAGUCCCGCAACGAGCGCAACCCUCGUUCCAUGUUGCCAGCACGCUCCUUCGGGGGUGGUGGGGACUCAUGGGAGACUGCCGGGGUCAACUCGGAGGAAGGUGGGGAUGACGUCAAAUCAUCAUGCCCCUUAUGUCUUGGGCUUCACGCAUGCUACAAUGGCCGGUACAAAGGGUUGCGAUACUGUGAGGUGGAGCUAAUCCCAAAAAGCCGGUCUCAGUUCGGAUCGUGGUCUGCAACUCGACCACGUGAAGUCGGAGUCGCUAGUAAUCGCAGAUCAGCAACGCUGCGGUGAAUACGUUCCCGGGCCUUGUACACACCGCCCGUCAAGUCACGAAAGUUGGUAACACCCGAAGCCGGUGGCCUAACCCUUGUGGGGGGAGCCGUCGAAGGUGGGACUGGCGAUUGGGACUAAGUCGUAACAAGGUAGCCGUACCGGAAGGUGCGGCUGGAUCACCUCCUUUCUAAGGA